GGCCAAGUGGUGUAAGAGUUGCACGUCCUCUGUUCUUAUAAAAUUCCUUCCAAGCUCGGAGGAAGAUCUCGGUUCGACUCCGAGCUUGGCCC